rnacentral:tRNA from 6 species
GGGGGAUUGGCGCAAUGGUAGCGCGUGGCUCUCCUAAAGCCAAGGUUGUGGGUUCGAGUCCCAUGUUCCUCG